AUAUUUUUCAAUUUGAAGGAAAACGGAGGAGAAAAACUAAAACACGUGCGCACGCUAGAAACCCCAAGGGCCAACUGGCGAAACUGACGAAAAUCGACUAGAGGUGGAGAAAAAUUGAUGCCAACAUCGAUGUCAAACAUCGAUAUUUUCGAAGAAUCACAAACAUCGGUGUUUUUCGAGGAAUCAUCGUAUAAAUUGAAAACGGAGGAGAAAAACUAAAACACGUGCGCACGCUAGAAACCCCAAGGGCCAACUGGCGAAACUGACGAAAAUCGACUAGAGGUGGAGAAAAAUUGAUGCCAACAUCGAUGUCAAACAUCGAUAUUUUCGAAGAAUCAUAAACAUCGGUGUUUUUCGAGGAAUCAUCGUAUAAAUUGAAAACGGAGGAGAAAAACUAAAACACGUGCGCACGCUAGAAACCCCAAGGGCCAACUGGCGAAACUGACGAAAAUCGACUAGAGGUGGAGAAAAAUUGAUGCCAACAUCGAUGUCAAACAUCGAUAUUUUCGAAGAAUCACAAACAUCGGUGUUUUUCGAGGAAUCAUCGUAUAAAUUGAAAACGGAGGAGAAAAACUAAAACACGUGCGCACGCUAGAAACCCCAAGGGCCAACUGGCGAAACUGACGAAAAUCGACUAGAGGUGGAGAAAAAUUGAUGCCAACAUCGAUGUCAAACAUCGAUAUUUUCGAAGAAUCACAAACAUCGGUGUUUUUCGAGGAAUCAUCGUAUAAAUUGAAAACGGAGGAGAAAAACUAAAACACGUGCGCACGCUAGAAACCCCAAGGGCCAACUGGCGAAACUGACGAAAAUCGACUAGAGGUGGAGAAAAAUUGAUGCCAACAUCGAUGUCAAACAUCGAUAUUUUCGAAGAAUCACAAACAUCGGUGUUUUUCGAGGAAUCAUCGUAUAAAUUGAAAACGGAGGAGAAAAACUAAAACACGUGCGCACGCUAGAAACCCCAAGGGCCAACUGGCGAAACUGACGAAAAUCGACUAGAGGUGGAGAAAAAUUGAUGCCAACAUCGAUGUCAAACAUCGAUAUUUUCGAAGAAUCACAAACAUCGGUGUUUUUCGAGGAAUCAUCGUAUAAAUUGAAAACGGAGGAGAAAAACUAAAACACGUGCGCACGCUAGAAACCCCAAGGGCCAACUGGCGAAACUGACGAAAAUCGACUAGAGGUGGAGAAAAAUUGAUGCCAACAUCGAUGUCAAACAUCGAUAUUUUCGAAGAAUCAUAAACAUCGGUGUUUUUCGAGGAAUCAUCGUAUAAAUUGAAAACGGAGGAGAAAAACUAAAACACGUGCGCACGCUAGAAACCCCAAGGGCCAACUGGCGAAACUGACGAAAAUCGACUAGAGGUGGAGAAAAAUUGAUGCCAACAUCGAUGUCAAACAUCGAUAUUUUCGAAGAAUCACAAACAUCGGUGUUUUUCGAGGAAUCAUCGUAUAAAUUGAAAACGGAGGAGAAAAACUAAAACACGUGCGCACGCUAGAAACCCCAAGGGCCAACUGGCGAAACUGACGAAAAUCGACUAGAGGUGGAGAAAAAUUGAUGCCAACAUCGAUGUCAAACAUCGAUAUUUUCGAAGAAUCACAAACAUCGGUGUUUUUCGAGGAAUCAUCGUAUAAAUUGAAAACGGAGGAGAAAAACUAAAACACGUGCGCACGCUAGAAACCCCAAGGGCCAACUGGCGAAACUGACGAAAAUCGACUAGAGGUGGAGAAAAAUUGAUGCCAACAUCGAUGUCAAACAUCGAUAUUUUCGAAGAAUCACAAACAUCGGUGUUUUUCGAGGAAUCAUCGUAUAAAUUGAAAACGGAGGAGAAAAACUAAAACACGUGCGCACGCUAGAAACCCCAAGGGCCAACUGGCGAAACUGACGAAAAUCGACUAGAGGUGGAGAAAAAUUGAUGCCAACAUCGAUGUCAAACAUCGAUAUUUUCGAAGAAUCACAAACAUCGGUGUUUUUCGAGGAAUCAUCGUAUAAAUUGAAAACGGAGGAGAAAAACUAAAACACGUGCGCACGCUAGAAACCCCAAGGGCCAACUGGCGAAACUGACGAAAAUCGACUAGAGGUGGAGAAAAAUUGAUGCCAACAUCGAUAUUUUCGAAGAAUCAUAAACAUCGGUGUUUUUCGAGGAAUCAUCGUAUAAAUUGAAAACGGAGGAGAAAAACUAAAACACGUGCGCACGCUAGAAACCCCAAGAGCCAACUGGCGAAACUGACGAAAAUCGACUAGAGGUGGAGAAAAAUUGAUGCCAACAUCGAUAUUUUCGAAGAAUCAUAAACAUCGGUGUUUUUCGAGGAAUCAUCGUAUAAAUUGAAAACGGAGGAGAAAAACUAAAACACGUGCGCACGCUAGAAACCCCAAGGGCCAACUGGCGAAACUGACGAAAAUCGACUAGAGGUGGAGAAAAAUUGAUGCCAACAUCGAUAUUUUCGAAGAAUCAUAAACAUCGGUGUUUUUCGAGGAAUCAUCGUAUAAAUUGAAAACGGAGGAGAAAAACUAAAACACGUGCGCACGCUAGAAACCCCAAGGGCCAACUGGCGAAACUGACGAAAAUCGACUAGAGGUGGAGAAAAAUUGAUGCCAACAUCGAUGUCAAACAUCGAUAUUUUCGAAGAAUCACAAACAUCGGUGUUUUUCGAGCAAUCAUCGUAUAAAUUGAAAACGGAGGAGAAAAACUAAAACACGUGCGCACGCUAGAAACCCCAAGGGCCAACUGGCGAAACUGACGAAAAUCGACUAGAGGUGGAGAAAAAUUGAUGCCAACAUCGAUGUCAAACAUCGAUAUUUUCGAAGAAUCACAAACAUCGGUGUUUUUCGAGCAAUCAUCGUAUAAAUUUGGUGUUGGCUGGCGUCGUGAAAGACAUGGAGAACAUGGUGGAGAAACAUCGAUGCAAGCAUCUCUAAAAUCAACGCAUGUACGAAAUGGUGUACAAGGAGAAUGCAGUGAUAACGCGAGCAGCUGAGCAUUGCCGUCUCGCUCGCACGCGUGCGGUGCGUGUGUGUACGUGAGAAUGCGCACAGCAAAGGCAACAGCGAAAAAUUCCGGUUGUGAAAAAGGGAGAAAGAAAAAAGCGUUUGUUACAACCAGGGGCGUUAGAAAACGGAGAAAAGGGUUGUGCCAAUGUAGAUUUGGUCUAAAUCAAUAAACAAAUAAAUAGAAAAAAGGUUGAUUGCAUAUAUUGUUA